rnacentral:rRNA from 1 species
AUGACGAACGAGCAGCAGCUCGCCGUCGCGGAGCAGAUCCACAAGGCUGUCAUUAUGUACAAUUAUUACCACCGGAAGAUAUCUCCGCAGCUUUCUUUCGCCGAUCCCAAACUGUUCCUUAUGUCACUUCCUGUUGAAGAAGAUUUGCUCACGCACUUGAGUAUGCUCCUUAAGCGUGAGAGCAAGCCUGGGAACAAUCAGAGGUUAUAUACUUGUGACACAGCAGCAUUACAGGCCUGUGAGAUCGCUAAAGGACUCGACGCGAGCAAAGAUUCUCCAGACAUGACAGCGUGGCCAAUCUCGAAAGUUGCUGUGCUUCUUAUCGACCCGGAAAGAAAAAAAUGUCUGAUUGAACAUACCCAGGGUGUCUGGUCAUUCAUAGAGUUUGAUGAAGCAUGCAGUAGCGACAUGAUAGCAGUUUGGAAAUCGGCAAAUAAACGAACCUAUGCUGCGGUGGACGGAGCAAAUACGCCUCGGGAACUAGCAUUGUCAGAAGUGGAGCGUAGAACAGGUAUGAAGGCCUCAAACUUGCGUGUUCUCGAAACUUUUUGGGCAUACUCACUGAGUAAAGAAAGGACAGCUACCAAGUUGUUCCUUGUGGAGUAUGAGCAAGCAAUGAAAGGCAACCUUGUGGAAAUUUCUCUAGAGGACUUGAUUACCAGUAUGACUGGUCCGGUCUUUGCAAAUCAUCAAUUCCUGAAAAUAACUUCUCUUGUUGAGUACUAUCACAUUCUUCCAUAUAAAGAUAUUUUGUCUGAACUCCUGCACAGGAAAUGGCCAGAAACACUAGUUGUCCCUACAAUGAUGAACAGUGCUUUGCCAUGGCAGAAUAUGGAAGUGUUGGAAAAGUCAGGCGCUUUCUCCGAAAACGUGAGUGAUCUGGUGGAUGAAUCACUGCGGCUAAUUCAGAAAAUACGGGAUGAUAUUGUUUUCAAGGAACGCAUACUUCAAGGCCAAAGUGCUGAAUGUGAUAUGGACAUUCAGAGAAUCUGGAAUGAAGGGCUGAUGACAGCAAAAGUGUUGUCAGACAAGUAUAAGAAUGGUUUCCCAAAGAUGGAAGUUGCGGCUUCAUCUUGCUCUGGAGAUGGCGGUCGCCUAAACAAGAAGACACUGAGGGCGAGCCUUGAAUUCAGGAAAUACGUGGAGCUUGAUGAGAUCUGCCGUGAUUGCUACUGUAUAUCUCCAAGAUACACAGUAUUACCUUCAAUAACAGAUGGGACGUACACCGCCAGUGUACGUCUUAGAUGCCCUGAUGCUAAGAUGACCAUCUAUGGAGGUCCUCGCAAGACCCCACUCGAGGCGAGGUGCUCUGCAGCUGCCAAUAUGAUACAGGAGCUUUGCAAGGCGUAG